AUUGAACGCUGGCGGCAGGCCUAACACAUGCAAGUCGAACGAGUGGCGGACGGGUGAGUAAUGUCGGGGAAACUGCCCGAUGGAGGGGGAUAACUAAUGGAAACGGUAGCUAAUACCGAAUACCAGCGGAUGUGCCCAGAUGGGAUUAGCUGGUAGGUGGGGUAAGGGCUCACCUAGGCGACGAUCCCUAGCUGGUCUGAGAGGAUGACCAGCCACACUGGAACUGAGACACGGUCCAGACUCCUACGGGAGGCAGCAGUGGGGAAUAGUGCACAAUGGGCGCAAGCCUGAUGCAGCCAUGCCGCGUGUAUGAAGAAGGCCUUCGGGUUGUAAAGUACUUUCAGCGAGGAGGCGUUACUCGCAGAAGAAGCACCGGCUAACUCCGUGCCAGCAGCCGCGGUAAUAC
rnacentral:rRNA from 1 species